AUAUAGUUUCCAUCUCAGCUGUCAGACUUUUUGGUUCUCCAUUGUUGCUCGCUUCUGCCUUUGCAGCCUGGCAUACUUAAUAAUAGGCCCUUUAUUUUAGCCACAUGAGUGUCAGUGUUAAGUGCUUCUACUGAAGCAUAGUAGCUAAAGGAAAACACUUUGUCCAUAUUAACUUAAAAACUUGGGAUAACUUGAUUAUAGUUUCUGUAAUACGUAGUAUCAGAUUUCAUCUGGGAAAUGUUUUAUAAAUACUCUCAGCUUAAAAUCUUGUAGUAUGGAAUAUUUUUGGACAGAUGACUGUGAAAUCACUAUUAUAUUUUCUUCAGAUGCUACAUCCUUUAGCUAUUUAGAACCAGCCAAGACAGAGGUUUUGCUUUGGGGAUGGGACAAGGCUUUGCAAAUGAACUGGGAUGCCACAGAGGCUGAAGCACUCGUUUUGAAGCUAAUGCUUAAUCUCUGUCCUGAAGAUCGUUUAAAAUUAGAAGGGUGGUAGUUCCACCAAAUGGAGAGGACCCUAACAGCUCAAUUUUUCUCUGCUGCAGCCACAGGUUUCCUUGCUGAGUAACUCUGUUGCUCAACCUGCUGUGAACUGGUGGAACUGUUUUGCAGAACGUUGGUGGUUGUUUUUGCCAGGUGAAUGGGGUAACAGACUAAGCAGGGAAGAGAAUUAUGUUGGAGUAUCAACGCUGGCACAAGGGGAUGAAGGAAAGCCUUUUUCUCUUUGCUUGGGAGCGAGCUGUCAGAGCUACUCAUCUGCUUGCAGACUGGUGACCUUGCUGGCCAAAGGCAGCUGUUGGAGAUGCUUACGUUGGUGAUUAGCAUGGUGAGGUUAGUCUGCCAACAGUUACGUCAUCACAAAGCCCUGGUGUAGUUAUAUUGGCAGCAAAAUGACAGUGAUUAAUGAUAUAGUGUAUUUUAUGGGGGGCGGUGAGGGAGGAAGGAUGGGGAAGAACAUUUGAACAAGCUUUUCUGGUCAAGUACUGUUCUUCUGGUAUAAAAUGGAAACUGUAGUAGGAAUGUUUUCCUAUUUUAAUAUGAUGUGUGAACAGACCAUCCUGUAAAAAUAGGACAAAUGUGUUUUUUCUUAAUUUUAUAUUUCACGGGGAAAAAUAUGACCUGCAAAUUUAACACCUCUGUGUUUACAGGAUGAAAUAAUUUGAAACAACUGCCGGACCAGGUACGGUUAGUUGCUAUUAGCAAGAAACUAGAGGAAAGCAAGACCUUGAGUCCAUUUGAAGCCCUUCUGUAAAAGCAGGCUGGUGUUAGUAGAAUCCACUGCCAGUGAAGACAGUGCGGAUGAAGAUGAUACGUGCUGUAAGCCUGUGAACUGCUUGUAGCUUUUCUGGGUUCUACGCUACUUCAGAAGUCUCUGCUCUAUCACAUUUCCUCUGCCUGAUGUCCCUGGCAGUCAUCUGAAGAUCUGCUGGCAGAACUGUUUCUGUGAAAGUCCCCAGAUGGUUUCAGCAAACUGAUUUGUAACCUGAGUUUCCAAAGGUCUGCCUUAAUUUUUUAUUUUUUUUUAAUUCUGUCUGAAGUUAGUUGAGGAAUGCUUGUGUCUGUAUGUAUGCUUAUCGACUGGAGAGAAGUCACUUUGGAGAGGCAGAAAACAAGAAGAUUAGGUGGAAGUGGGUGGCUUAAGUAACUUUAAAUUUGUGUGUGUCACCUCAGUUUGGAGGAGAUACUCAAGGAAAUUUCCAGUACAUUCAUAAGUAUGUGUAUCUGUUUGGAAGAUGCCAGUCUGACAUGCUCUAUGAAGAAAACUCCAGUGAAACUUGCUGAUCACACUGAUGUUAUUGCCAUUUGACUCCGUGUCUCUGUGCCAGGCCCAGAUAUCAGUGACUGUUAUGGGAUUGGCUAUUUGCAUGAGCGAUGUUGUCCCUGAGGCCAGAUGUUCAUACUAUUUUGGGAUAGAUGCCUGUUGCCCAUGCAGGUCUCAUCCUGCUUGCAAGGAAGGAAGAAAGCACUGGGCUGUCUUAACCAUAGUUUCUGAAUAAUAUGCUUUCCUGGCUGUAUUGGUCCUCCCAGAAAUUCAGCAAGUGACCCCUCACUACCCCUGCUCUGCAUUCUUAUGCCUGCAUCUGUGCAGGGAGAGUUUCGGCACCCGUCUGCAGAAGCUGAGAUCAGAGAGCACUGGUGGCACGCUGCUUGCACUAAAUUUCACUAAACACUGUUCUUUGUUUCUGAAUAUAAGCAAGUUUCCGUCACCCCUUUGCCAAGCUUCUUGCCUCCGUCCACUUGGCACACAGGGAUUCUCAGUCUUCCAGGCUGGCCAGCAACUGGGGCUGUCUGAGCCUGAAGUCUUGUUACUGGGAGAACCUGGCAGCCUAGGAGCGCUGGUUUCAUCCUCAGAAUUAAAG
ensembl:lncRNA